AUAUAUGAAUAUGUAUGUGUGUGUGUAUAUAUAUAUAUAUACAGUUAUACUUAUAUCUAUGUAUAUAUUUUCUGUAUAAUCAAGUGCAUGUGCCCAUUCUUCCAUCUCUAUAUCUGACUAGUAAGUCCUAAAGAGAACUCUCUUCAGCCCACUGAUGUUAUCCCAUCCUGCUCGCUGUCAUCUCAUCUCCCACCUUGAAAAGAGAUCUUGUCCAUCAGGCUGGAGACAGCUUACAAGCAGCUGCUGUUCAAGAUAUGAUCCCAAAAGGAAAGUCUAAUGCGAACCGUUCCUGACCAAGCACCUGGCAGAACUCAAAUCCACUUGCUGGUGAUGGGCAUCCUGGAUUUGUUCAAGGAGGUGAAGCUGGAAGAGACACUAGAACACGAGCCAUGGAGUGAUGACUGCCAACAUUAAAAAGCUCUGGACACCACUGCUUAAAGAGAGAGGUGAUUAGUUCAGUGAAUGCCAUCUCCUCAUGGUAGUAUCCAAUGCUCUCAUCAUCAGACAAUGGUGGCAAAGGUUUUAGGAGGAUCUGCAAAGGAGACAAGAGUAGAAGCAGAAGGAUGAAAAAUCAGUAUCUACAAACAUGAAACAGGCAGCCUGGAAAGAUAAUGGCCAUUAGAAAAAGCAGGUUUUCCAGAGAAAGCAGUCUGGAACAAGCCAAGAAGCAAGAAAUGAGCAUGUAUGCAUAGCAUCUUUCCAAAUGCCUGAAAGAAAAGACAGGGUUUUCACUGAGUCUGGAGACCCGCGAACCAAGAGGUGGGAGCAGGUGCCAAAACCUCAAGAGAGCACUCAGCCAGCAGCCCCUUCUUUUGAAGCAUCUCGGAGUCCAGCUUCCCCUUGGUAAUUCCAGAAAAGACAACACAGUUGCCCUGGAAGUCUUUGUAGUAACCUCUGUGUGAAACUUGGUAGAUCUAAACCAGCGCCCUGAACAGCACUCCAAAUCUGUCAGGCAGCAAGUCCAGGCAGCAGGACUUUAGGGAUCUCACUCCCACAUUCUGCAUCUCUCUUUUAUGAGCACCUUUUUUCCAGAGGCUCAACAGUGGUUUUGAGGCCCUGAAGAGGCCAGCAGGCAAAACAUGCCAUCCUCAGGCUGGUCCUUGAAGACCAGUACAGUACAUGGGUCAUUCAUCUUGGUGUCCCUUAACCUCCCAGCACAGGAAUCAGAGAUCUAGCCAACUUAGAAAUAAUUCCACCUAGUCCAGAUUUUCUUGAAAACAGUCCAGAAGAGGUAAUAGGAAUUCCAGUUUCAGUGGCUUAAAUUCCAUCUUGGCCUGUCUUUUUUCUUGUAAUUUCUUUUGGGUGCUACACCAGUGACUACAGUUCAAUUUCUAACAUCCAGGGUUUUCUUUUUUCUCUGCACAGCUUUUUUAUUUAGCUUGUUUAAUGAAAGCUUGUCCAACAUAGAAAGGCACAGGAGCUCAUGAGAGGUCAGGGACAUAUCUUCCCACUUAGCAGCAAUGAAAGGUGCUGUAAGUGAGAUAUAUUCCCUGCCCUCACCUGCCCUGCUACAUCAGGCAAACAACUUCUUAGUUUGACAUUGCUGUCUUUUAGUUAUAAAAGGGAAACAACUCCGUUGAAGAGGUUAAAUACCAAGCUUUAAGGUAUACAAAAGAUGCAGGGCAACUACUGAGGAAGAAGUGGACCCCUACCUUUUCCCAGCUUGCAGAAUGUGGGAGAUAAAUAUUCCUGACCAGCUCUGUCCCCAGAGCCGUGAACCUUCAUCAUCUGGGAGAGUACCCAGAUGCAUUUUGUCCUGGAGGUACCCAGACAUUUUGCACCCAGGGGCAUUGUUAGAUUCUCCUCCUGACAGUGUUGACUUUCUAUAAAUGUCUUUGUUAAAACCCAUCAGCUUCAGUAGAGUUCAGAGACAUCACAGAAAGAAGAAUUAGGCCUCAGAUGUCUCAGACUGAUGAUAUUACAGUAUGUUUAACUAUUGCUCAUAGCUGUAGGUGAGUGGAAAGUUUUUCAAUAAGCCACUAUUGUGUGUAUAUCAGAUUUUCCUGGUAUUUAAGAAGAAGGAACAAUAUCAUAAUUUUUGAGAGGCUCUGUUAAUUUUUGGACUCCUUUAGCAGGGGAAAGCAAAAGUAAUGGAAAACUAAAGACAGAACAAAAAUUAGAUUUUUGGUCUGAAAGAGCAGCUAGUGUGUACACAUAGGCAGAAAUGCACAUUUGCAUCUAUACACUUCUGCAUGUGUAUCUUUCUGGAAGUGAAGCAGUGUUACAGGGUAGUAUUCCCUCUACACUACUUAAAUUCCCUGAUUAAAGCAAAUGAGCCAAGAGAUAUUUAAGAGAGACACCAAUAACAGCUUAAAUAAUUACAGAUUCCAUGAUCCAGUUCUUUAACAGCAUAUGCUUAUUAUUUAAGAACAUGGGAUCAGACCUUGCAAAUCCACUGAAACUAGGUGAGACAAAGGGUAAGAUGUUGUUGUAACAGAGCAGGCAUAGGGGGCUGAGUAGUGUCAGGCACGGGGAUGCUGGUGGAUCGCACGUCACCUGCUUUUGGUCCUUGGCUGAAGACCUUGUCUUGCUGUGCCACACAAUUAGCUCCAGUUCCAUCCUUGAUAACAGAGGAAGGAGAGUUGACGCACAUCUUUUCAACUGCAGAUUACAUAAUGUUGUCUACAUUAUGUUAUUUUCCAAAGAGAAGCCUAAUUUUAGUGCUCAGGAGAUGGAGUUCAUACAGGGAACAAGAGAAUGAACUUUCUGAUCAUUGUAUUGAAUAAUGUUCAGCACAGCUCUUCAGAAAAAGUCUUAAUUCCUUUCCUGCAAAGUCUGGACCACCACUAUAGAUUGUCACACUGAUUUUAAACAAAAUGGAAAUCAAAUGUAUUUGCUCCUGAUGGGAGGAGGAUGUGAGAUGAAGACACCUUUUCUAAGCAGAACUGAGGAGAGGAAAGGAAUGUAAUUCUGCUAAGGAGUACACUUUACAUAUUCUUAUGGGUUUAUACCAAUGUAUAGAUCUCUUGACUCAGAGACAUAACCUCUCAAGUAUAUGAGAGUCCAGCUCAGCUCCAAUUUUUCCAGUUAAAAGUCCCACAUUGAUGGUUUUUGCAUGUUUUUUCUUUCAGACACUCUUGCUGCUGGUCCAGAAGUGCCUCUGCCUCAAAAGGUGUUUGAGACGUGGCUUUUUCUCAUUUUAAUAUGAUGAGCCAAAUGUUUCCUUUGAAUGAGCCUCAUGAAUAUCACAGACUGAGUCCUGCCAGAGUCAAAACUAUUGCAUAUUCUGAUUCUAUCUCAGUAUAGGUGCAUACUCAACAUCACACACAAUAAAAAAAUGCUUCCUUCCCCAGAAAUUCACUAUUUUAAGCUCACACAAAGCCCAUAAAGCUUCUUGGUGUUUAAUUCAUGGCUGAGCAGACUGUCCAUGUCUUAACAUACAAUGAUCUCAGGACCCUAUGAGGUAUUUACAUGGAAUGGUGCUUUAUGCAUUAACUGUUGGGCGGACCUUUACAAUGAGCCCUCCAAGAAUGUUAUAUUCUCUGCUCUCUGCCAAUUUAGAGAAGGGGCAAUUGUAUGAAGUCCAUGGUGUUGAUAACAGAAGACUGUAACUGCAUGCACUAAAUGUAUACCAUUUUGUGUGCAUACGUUGCAGUGUGCUGUUACAGCAUGCAAAUGUAUGCCAGCUCCGCCAUGCACAGAAAACUAGCUGACUUUAAAAUUUAAAAGUGGUCUUGUCUCUUAUAUCCUACUGGUAUCUUCAAAAUCCUAAAGGCAGCGAAAUCAAAUGUCCUUGGAAACUGUAAUCUUGUGUGUGCUACAGCAGGCACAUGUAAGCAGAGCAGCAGUGUCUGCUUCCUGGCCAAGUCUCUCACCAGUACACACAAAACCUGGCAGUCUCAGUGGGAGGUGGUAGCCCUGUUUCCACACAUACGCAAUCCUUUCCUCCCUGUGGAGGUGAAUGUGGAUGGUGAACAUACUGGUAUGCUCUGAGCAGGGGAAGGGGACAACCAAAUUCACUUUAUACAGAAAACCAAGAAGUCCCCUCAGGUAGCAAAUAUGUUCUCAAGGAUGCAGUCUGGCUUUCGGCUUUGAUUCAGUAGAAGACCACCACACACUUCUGUUCCCCUUUUAAGUCCUGUCCUGAAAGAUCUUUGACAAGUGUCCAGGGUUUUUAAAUCUGUACUAGAAGAUGAAGAGCAGAGAUGAACUCAGACCCAUCAAUAGUAACCAGCAGUGGGGACUGGGGUCCUCAGGUGCCAUGGGAUAGGAGGGAAUCUGGGGCAGGGAUGCCUAGGCAGAGGAGAG